rnacentral:rRNA from 1 species
GCGGCGUGCCUAAUACAUGCAAGUCGAACGGAGCUUCUUGGUGCUCAGUGGCGAACGGGUGAGGAGAACAUAGGUAACCUGCCCCUCCGAGGGGGAUAACAGCUGGAAACGGCUGCUAAGACCGCAUAGACGCAUUCAGGGCAUCCUGGAUGCGCUAAAUGACCGGAUGGUCAGCGGGGGGAUGGACCUAUGCAGUAUUAGCUAGUUGGCGGGGCAACGGCCCACCAAGGCGACGAUACUUAGCCGGCCUGAGAGGGCGGACGGCCACACUGGGACUGAGACACGGCCCAGACUCCUACGGGAGGCAGCAGUAGGGAAUUUUCGGCAAUGGGGGAAACCCUGACCGAGCAACGCCGCGUGAACGAAGAAGGCCUUCGGGUCGUAAAGUUCUGUUGUACGGGAAGAACGUCGGAUGGAGGAAAUGCCAUGCGAGUGACGGUACCGAACAUAGAAAGCCACGGCUAACUACGUGCCAGCAGCCGCGGUAAUACGUAGGUGGCGAGCGUUAUCCGGAAUCAUUGGGCGUAAAGAGGGAGCAGGCGGUGAUACAGGUCUGGAGGUGAAAGCCCGAAGCUAAACUUCGGGAAGCCCCGGAAACCGGAUCACUGGAGUGCGGAAGAGGAUCGUGGAAUUCCAUGUGUAGCGGUGAAAUGCGUAGAUAUAUGGAGGAACACCAGUGGCGAAGGCGACGGUCUGGUCCGCAACUGACGCUCAGUCCCGAAAGCGUGGGGAGCAAAUAGGAUUAGAUACCCUAGUAGUCCACGCCGUAAACGAUCGAUACUAAGUGUCGGGAGUCAUAUCCCGGUGCUGCAGUCAACGCAAUAAGUAUCGCGCCUGAGUAGUACGUUCGCAAGAAUGAAACUCAAAGAAAUUGACGGGGGCCCGCACAAGCGGUGGAGCAUGUGGUUUAAUUCGAAGCAACGCGAAGAACCUUACCAAGUCUUGACAUCCUUCUGACCGGUACUUAACCGUACCUUCUCUUCGGAGCAGGAGUGACAGGUGGUGCAUGGUUGUCGUCAGCUCGUGUCGUGAGAUGUUGGGUUAAGUCCCGCAACGAGCGCAACCCUUAUCUUUAGUAGCCAGCGGUUCGGCCGGGCACUCUAGAGAGACUGCCAGGGAUAACCUGGAGGAAGGCGGGGAUGACGUCAAAUCAUCAUGCCCCUUAUGACUUGGGCUACACACGUGCUACAAUGGCGUAAACAAAGGGAAGCAAAGCUGUGAAGCCGAGCAAAUCUCAAAAAUAACGUCUCAGUUCGGACUGUAGUCUGCAACCCGACCACACGAAGCUGGAAUCGCUAGUAAUCAAAGAUCAGAAUGCUGCGGUGAAUACGUUCCCGGG